rnacentral:ncRNA from 1 species
CAAUAAGCGGAGGAAAAGAAACUAACAAGGAUUCCCCUAGUAACUGCGAGUGAAGCGGGAAAAGCUCAAAUUUAAAAUCUGGCGGUCUCCGUCCGAGUUGUAAUCUAGAGAAGUGUUAUCCGCGCUGGACCGUGUACAAGUCUCCUGGAAUGGAGCAUCAUAGAGGGUGAGAAUCCCGUCUUUGACACGGACUGCCAGGGCUUUGUGAUGCGCUCUCAAAGAGUCGAGUUGUUUGGGAAUGCAGCUCAAAAUGGGUGGUAAAUUCCAUCUAAAGCUAAAUAUUGGCGAGAGACCGAUAGCGAACAAGUACCGUGAGGGAAAGAUGAAAAGAACUUUGGAAAGAGAGUUAAACAGUACGUGAAAUUGCUGAAAGGGAAACGCUUGAAGUCAGUCGCGUUGGCUGGGGAUCAACCUUGCUUUUGCUGGGUGUACUUUCCGGUCGACGGGUCAGCAUCAAUUUUGACCGUUGGAUAAAGUUCAGGGGAAUGUGGCAUCUUCGGAUGUGUUAUAGCCCUUGGUCGCAUACAACGAUUGGGAUUGAGGAACUCAGCACGCCGCAAGGCCGGGUACUUGUACCACGUUCGUGCUUAGGAUGCUGGCAUAAUGGCUUUAAUCGACCCGUCUUGAAACACGGACCAAGGAGUCUAACAUGCCUGCGAGUGUUUGGGUGGAAAACCCGGGCGCGUAAUGAAAGUGAAAGUUGAGAUCCCUGUCGCGGGGAGCAUCGACGCCCGGACCAGACCUUUUGUGACGGAUCCGCGGUAGAGCAUGUAUGUUGGGACCCGAAAGAUGGUGAACUAUGCCUGAAUAGGGUGAAGCCAGAGGAAACUCUGGUGGAGGCUCGUAGCGAUUCUGACGUGCAAAUCGAUCGUCAAAUUUGGGUAUAGGGGCGAAAGACUAAUCGAACCAUCUAGUAGCUGGUUCCUGC